UACGUAGGAGGCGAGCGUUGUCCGGAAUUACUGGGCGUAAAGAGCGCGUAGGCGGCUUGUCACGUCGGUUGUGAAAGCCCGGGGCUUAACCCCGGGUCUGCAGUCGAUACGGGCAGGCUAGAGUUCGGUAGGGGAGAUCGGAAUUCCUGGUGUAGCGGUGAAAUGCGCAGAUAUCAGGAGGAACACCGGUGGCGAAGGCGGAUCUCUGGGCCGAUACUGACGCUGAGGAGCGAAAGCGUGGGGAGCGAACAGG
rnacentral:rRNA from 1 species